GACCCGUGGCAGACAGCUCAGUAACACGUGGCCAAACUACCCUAUGGACGCGGACACCCUCGGGAAACUGAGGCUAAUCCACGAUACGGCUCUCACGCUGGAAUGCGGGGAGCCGGAAAGGCUCCGGCGCCAUAGGAUGUGGCUGCGGCCGAUUAGGUAGACGGUGGGGUAACGGCCCACCGUGCCCAUAAUCGGUACGGGAUGUGAGAGCAAAUAGCCCGGAGAUGGAUUCUGAGACAAGAAUCCAGGCCCUACGGGGCGCAGCAGGCGCGAGACCUUUACACUGCACGCCAGUGCGAUAAGGGGACCCCGAGUGCGAGGGCAUACAGUCCUCGCUUUUGUACACCGUAAGGAGGUGUACGAAUAAGGGCUGGGCAAGACCGGUGCCAGCCGCCGCGGUAAUACCGGCAGCCCGAGUGAUGGCCGCUGUUAUUGGGCCUAAAGCGCCCGUAGCCGGCCGAACAAGUCUGUCGGGAAAUCCAUCUGCCUAACAGAUGGGCGUCCGGCAGAAACUGUUCGGCUUGGGGCCGGAAGAUCCGAGGGGUACGUCCGGGGUAGGAGUGAAAUCCCGUAAUCCUGGACGGACCGCCGGUGGCGAAAGCGCCUCGGAAGGACGGACCCGACGGUGAGGGACGAAAGCUGGGGUCUCGAACCGGAUUAGAUACCCGGGUAGUCCCAGCCGUAAACGA
rnacentral:rRNA from 1 species